UUUGGAUUGUUUAUUUUAACAUUAAUCUAUAUGUAAAUUUUUGUGCAAUUAAAAUUUCUUGAAGGAGUAUUUAAUGUUGAUAUUGGGCAGUAGAUGAUAUUAUUGAUAUUAAAUUAUUUUAGAUUUGGUAAAUGUUAUUAGGUUUGGUAAAAGUUGUGCCAGCAUCCGCGGUUAUACAACGAAAUCAAGUAAACAUUAUUAGUUUUAAAGUAAUUAACAUUUUACGUUAUAUAGGAUUUAAGAUAUUUUAAGGUGAAAUAUUUAUAAUAUCUUUAAAUAUAUUUUGUGGUGUGAAUUAAUUAUGAAAUUGAAAAUAUAAACUAGGAUUAGAUACCCUAUUAUUUUUAUUGUAAAGUUUGAAAGCUGGAGUAUUAAUAGUUAUGAUCUUGAAACUUAAAGAAUUUGGCGGUAUUAUAGUCUAUUUAGAGGAAUCUGUUAUGUAAUCGAUAGUCCACGUUGAACCUUACUUAUAUUACUUCUUGUAUACCUCUGUUUAAGAAUAUACUUUUAGGUUAAUUUUCUGAAUAUAAUAUUAUUUAAUAUUUCAAGUCAAGGUGCAGUAAUAUAUAAGUUGAAUAAUGGAUUACAAUAAAUUUUAUUUAUAUGAAUUGUUAUUGGAACAUAAUUUGAAGGUGGAUUUAAUUGUAAUUUUAUAAAGAUUAUUAAAAUGAUUAAUAGCUCUAUAAUAUGCACACAUCGCCCGUCGCUCUCGUUAUUAAGAUGAGAUAAGUCGUAACAAAGUAGGUGUAUCGGAAGAUGUACCUAGAAAGUUAAU
rnacentral:ncRNA from 1 species